CCUAUCCACUGGGUCCGCCCAGAAGUCUGGGAUCACGAACUGUGACAAGUCAAACUUCUUCCUCCAGCUUUCGGCUUUUUUUUUUUUUUUUUCUAUUACUUACGACGACUUUUGGGUUCUUUACAGCACAGAAAGGCGUCUGUAAUUCCCCUCCCUGUUUCAUCAACAGUAUCAGGGUACUUGUGGCAACUUCUCAGUAUUUGGUGAUGUGGAAGUUCAAAGAGUGCACUGUAGAACUUUCUAGCAGUGGGAGUCUCGCUGAUGGGCUGCUGUCGCUACUGCAUGAGUACACACCAAUGGCCAACUUGGGUGCAGUUAAGCGGCGAAAUGUGACGAGAGGGAGAGCAAAAAAACAGGGCAGGGC